UGUUUGAUGUUCUAACGUGGACCCGUGAUCCGGGUUGCGGACAGUGUCUGGUGGGUAGUUUGACUGGGGCGGUCUCCUCCUAAAGAGUAACGGAGGAGCACGAAGGUUGGCUAAUCCUGGUCGGACAUCAGGAGGUUAGUGCAAUGGCAUAAGCCAGCUUGACUGCGAGCGUGACGGCGCGAGCAGGUGCGAAAGCAGGUCAUAGUGAUCCGGUGGUUCUGAAUGGAAGGGCCAUCGCUCAACGGAUAAAAGGUACUCCGGGGAUAACAGGCUGAUACCGCCCAAGAGUUCAUAUCGACGGCGGUGUUUGGCACCUCGAUGUCGGCUCAUCACAUCCUGGGGCUGAAGUAGGUCCCAAGGGUAUGGCUGUUCGCCAUUUAAAGUGGUACGCGAGCUGGGUUUAGAACGUCGUGAGACAGUUCGGUCCCUAUCUGCCGUGGGCGCUGGAGAACUGAGGGGGGCUGCUCCUAGUACGAGAGGACCGGAGUGGACGCAUCACUGGUGUUCGGGUUGUCAUGCCAAUGGCACUGCCCGGUAGCUAAAUGCGGAAGAGAUAAGUGCUGAAAGCAUCUAAGCACGAAACUUGCCCCGAGAUGAGUUCUCCCUGAGACUUUAAGUCUCCUGAAGGAACGUUGAAGACGACGACGUUGAUAGGCCGGGUGUGUAAGCGCAGCGAUGCGUUGAGCUAACCGGUACUAAUGAACCGUGAGGCUUA
rnacentral:rRNA from 1 species